GAUGAACGCUGGCGGCGUGCCUAAUACACGCAAGUCGAGCGAACAGAUAAGGAGCUUGCUCCUUUGACGUUAGCGGCGGACGGGUGAGUAACACGUGGGUAACCUACCUAUAAGACUGGGAUAACUUCGGGAAACCGGAGCUAAUACCGGAUAAUAUUUCGAACCGCAUGGUUCGAUAGUGAAAGAUGGUUUUGCUAUCACUUAUAGAUGGACCCGCGCCGUAUUAGCUAGUUGGUAAGGUAACGGCUUACCAAGGCGACGAUACGUAGCCGACCUGAGAGGGUGAUCGGCCACACUGGAACUGAGACACGGUCCAGACUCCUACAGGAGGCAGCAGUAGGGAAUCUUCCGCAAUGGGCGAAAGCCUGACGGAGCAACGCCGCGUGAGUGAUGAAGGUCUUCGGAUCGUAAAACUCUGUUAUUAGGGAAGAACAUACGUGUAAGUAACUGUGCACGUCUUGACGGUACCUAAUCAGAAAGCCACGGCUAACUACGUG
rnacentral:rRNA from 1 species